UACAGAGGCCACAAGCGUUAGUCGGAAUCACUGGGCUUAAAGGGUGCGUAGGCGGAGUUGUAAGUGUUCUGUGAAAUCCCCCGGCUCAACCGGGGAACAGCAGGGCAUACUGCAAUUCUCGAGGAACGUAGGGGCGGGCAGAACAGUAGGUGGAGCGGUGAAAUGCGUAGAUAUCUACUGGAAUGCCGAUGGGGAAGCCGGCCCGCUGGGCGUUUCCUGACGCUGAGGCACGAAAGCGUGGGGAUCAAACAGG
rnacentral:rRNA from 1 species